rnacentral:rRNA from 1 species
UUUGAGGGUUUGAUCCUGGCCCAGGAUGAACGCUAGCGGCGUGCUUUAAGCAUGCAAGUGGGACGGUCCCCUGCGGACAGUCGCGAACGGCUGAGUAACACGUAAGAACUUACCCCUUGGCGGGGAAUACCUCCGCGAAAGCGGGGCUAAUACCGCAUGACCUCCUGCUAUGCAGGAGAAAAGGAUUUAACUAUCCACCGAGGGAAAGGCUUGCGACCCAUCAGCUUGUUGGUGAGGUAAUGGCUCACCAAGGCUACGACGGGUAGGGGAUGUGAGAGCAUGUUCCCCCAGAAUGGGACUGAGACACGGCCCAUACACCUACGGGCGACGCCGCGUGAGGGAUGAAGGCGGAUUCGUUGUAAACCUCUUUUGCUCCGACUGAGAAGUCGGGGAGAAUAAGCACCGGCUAACUCCGUGCCAGCAGCAGCGGUAAUACGGAGGGUGCAAGCGUUAUCCGGAUUUAUUGGGCGUAAAGCGUUUCGUAGGCGACAUGAUAAGUCACCUUUUAAAGACUCCGGCUCAACUGGAGAAAGGGGGGUGAUACUGUCGUGUUUGAAUCAUUUAGGGGCUACCGGAACUAUCGGUGUAGGAGUGAAAUCCGUUGAUAUCGAUAGGAACACCAAGGGCGAAGGCAGGUAGCUGGGGAUGUCGGGUACCAUUUGGUACUCGACCGGGUACCGUAAGGUAUCCGGUAUUGACGCUGAGGAACGAAAGCUAGGGGAGCGAAAGGGAUUAGAGACCCCUGUAGUCCUAGCCGUAAACGAUG